GAAGUCAUACUAAAAAUGGCUAGCAAGCAAAAGCUAAACCAGAGUGUAUCACGCACACACUUUGGGUUCACGUCCAAAAAGGUGGCACUCGGAGAUGGAGAGGCACCGAAAGACGACGCUGGUGCAGCUAGCACAGCCAGCACAGUGGUCCCACUCACUUUCCAGAACAGAGGAUCCUAUCCCACCCAGCGACUCCCCAGAAGAACAUAAUUUAGUAGAGGCCGAGUGCUAACUAACUAGGCUAACGUUAGCUGCUACCUGCUGCUAGCAUAAGUGACUUGCCGGCUGGUUGGACAACGAAGCAGGUGGGCGAAUGGAAAGACCGCAACCCUUGGCUUGACAUUAAGGCAGGGAAAUUGGGCUGUUUAGUGUGUAGAAAAGCAAAAAACGUUGCUAUUCUCAUUAAAGGGACCGGGUUAACACCUUGCAGAAUAAUGGGUCAACGGUGAUGUUACUAGCUCUGAAGCAAAGAGGCUACGAAAGAAGAUAUACAACCACAGGGACAGCCAGGCCCGCACAAGAUGUGUUUGUGCCGAAGACAGCCUCUCUCCACUCCUGUUUGUGGACCUCAACGGACCUCACAGCAACCACAAGAAGUCGAGCCUAUUAAGACAUCUUUGGUCUAUUCUAACUUAAGGCAACAUGCAGCAUGGUGGGCCAUAUAAGAAGUCAUCAUUUCUCUACUUACUACUUGGACUACAGAAGAAUUGAUGGUGAGCGAUUCAUGAGACAUGAAAUGCAAAUAGCGAACUUUC